GUCAAGCUAGUGGAGACUCGUUCAUUGGACGUGCCUUGGCACUAUCGUGCUUUUUGGAAAGCCACUCUUCUCCAUCUGGCUGACAUGCACAUUCAAGUUUGUCACAUCUACCGUGAAGGUAACGUUGCAGCGGACAUUAUGGCGAAUCAAGCUAGAAGUGAAGGUUGGUGGUCAUAUGCUAUUGAGAUCUUUCUUCUCAUAGUUUUAUUCGUCAAUGCUAGAAGUGUGCGGUUUAGUGACGCCGAGGUUUUUUCCAACUUGCUGGUGCGCUGGCAGUUGGGCCUUGGGGGUCGGGUAACGUUGGUUGCUCCGUAACUUAUCUUCGUUUGGAUAGGUUGGCGUUGAGUUUUUGGAGUCUGCUUUUUCUCGGCAGAUUACGUGGGAUCCUUUGC
rnacentral:lncRNA from 1 species